AACAGCGUAAUUCAGAGGAAGAAUGCGAGGCUCAUAUGACGUAAUUACUUACGAAAAUUGAUCACCUCGAAGUCAUGGGAUCGAAACCCAUCGCUGUUA